GUUAGAGUCAGAGCAAAAUGAAAUACAGAAAUUGAAAAACUAAACUUCCUCGUCUCUAUUGAUAUUUCUCUCUUCUUUUUUUUUGUAAAUGGCGAAUCAAGGAGCAAAGAAGCGUAAGGAUGAGAAUAAUAGACACAUGGCUAGGCUCCGUAUUAUAAUGAUCGUUUGCAACGUGCUACUUCAUCUUUUCCCUCAUUCCUCUCAUUCUUAAUCCUUUGAUUUCGUUAUAUACGUUACUUGGAUCACACUGGAACUACAAAACAGCUGAAUUUGAUCUUUUAAGACUUUAAAGUUUCAAUUUUAGGUCAACAUCAGAUGAUUUUUUGUUUCGAUGAAUUCGAGGAUUGAUUUUGUUUUUCUUGGCAAUAUGUGUUUGCAGAGGGAGGUGUAGAGGAUGAGAAGACUCGCAAAGAGAGGGAGAAGAUGGAGAGAAAGGUUUCUAGAGGGCAAGUCGUCAAGACAAAAUCACGAUGAGUCUCUUCAAAACAUACAAAUUGCAGAUCAAUGGGUAAUUACUCCUGACUUUGCAUGUAACUGUUGUACGGAUGUAGCUGUCUUUACUCUAUUUUGACUUAAAUGGAUGUGUUAAGAUGAAGUAGACUAAUAGUUUUGAGUAGGAUACAGUGAAUUCUCUGAAGAUAUAGACUUUUGUUCUCUGGAUUUUUGCUGUAUUAUGGUGUUUUUUGUUAGCCAUAAGACCGACAAAUUAGACCACUUAAAAAUUCAAAUU